AACGAACGCUGGCGGCGUACCUAACACAUGCAAGUCGAACGAGAAAUUCCGAUUCGUCGGGAGAGUAAAGUGGCGAACGGGUGAGUAACACUAGGGUAAUCUCCCCUUGAAUAAGGGAUAACAUUGCGAAAGCGAUGCUAAUACCUUAUAAGACUACGAUCUCUUAGGAGAUAGUAGGAAAAGAUGGCCUCUGUUCCAUGCUAUCGUUUAAGGAUGAGCCCUAGCACUAUUAGCUAGUUGGUGAGGUAAUGGCUCACCAAGGCGACGAUGGUUAACUGGUCUGAGAGGAUGAUCAGCCACACUGGAACUGAGACACGGUCCAGACUCCUACGGGAGGCAGCAGUGAGGAAUAUUGCGCAAUGGGGGCAACCCUGACGCAGUGACGCCGCGUGAGUGAUGAAGGCUUUCGAGUUGUAAAGUCCUUUUGCAGGAGAAGAAUAAAUCAGGGAGUGGAAAGCCCUGGUGAUGACGUUAUCCUGCGAAUAAGCCCCGGCCAAUUACGUGCCAGCCGCCGCCGUAAAAC
rnacentral:rRNA from 1 species